rnacentral:rRNA from 1 species
CAGCAGCCGCGGUAAUACCGGCGGCCCGAGUGGCGGUCACUAUUAUUGGGCUUAAAACGUCCGUAGCCGGGUUGGGAAGUCCUCCGGGAAAUCUGGCCGCUUAACGGUCAGAAUGCCGGAGGAUACUCCCAGCCUAGGGAGCGGGAGAGGCCGAGGGGAUUCCCGGAGUAGGGGUGAAAUCCUAUAAUCCCGGGAGGACCACCUGGGGCGAAGGCGCUCGGCUGGAACGCGUCCGACGGUGAGGGACGAAGGCCAGGGGAGCAAACCGGAUUAGAUACCCGGGUAGUCCUGGCUGUAAACGAUGCGGACUUUGUGUCGGACAAGCUAUGAGCUUGUCCGGUGCCGGAGGGAAACCGUUAAGUCCGCCGCCUGGGGAGUACGGCCGCAAGGCUGAAACUUAAAGGAAUUGGCGGG